UACAGAGGUCUCAAGCGUUGUUCGGAAUCACUGGGCGUAAAGGGUGCGUAGGCCGCACGGUAAGUCAGAGGUGAAAUCCCGGAGCUCAACUCCGGAAUGGCCUCCGAUACUGCCGUGCUCGAGGACUGGAGAGGAGUCUGGAAUUCACAGUGGAUCAGUGAAAUGCGUGGAUAUUGUGAGGAACACUAGUGGCGAAGGCGAGACUCUGGACAGUUCCUGACGCUGAGGCACGAAGGCCAGGGGAGCAAACGGG
rnacentral:rRNA from 1 species